AACAUUUUCUUUAGAAUAUAUUUAAAGAUAAUACCUGCUCAAUGUAAUUAUAAAUAGCUGCGGUAUCCUAACUGCACUAAGGUAGCAUAAUUAAUUGUCUUUUAAAUGAUGACUUGUUUGAAUGGUUUUAUGAGAAAAAGAUUUUCUUUAAAUUAUACAGAAUUUAUAUUUUUGGUCAAAAUACCUAAUUUAUAAAGAAAGACGAGAAGACCCUGUUGAGUUUAACAGCAAUGAUUAUGCUGUUAAAAUGGGAAAUUUAGUUUCUUUUUGAAACUUUUUAGAUCCUAGAUUUUUUCGGAAAAAGGAUAAAAUUACCACAGGGAUAACAGGACUAUAUUUACUGAGAGUUCUAAUUGAAGUAAAUGUUUGUUACCUCGAUGUUGAAUCGGAAUAUCUUUUUGGUGCAGUAGUCAACUAAGUAGGUCUGUUCGACCUUUAAAAUUCCACGUGAUUU
rnacentral:rRNA from 1 species